CCACAAGUACGGAUGCAGGCAUAAGUAGCGCGAAGACGGGUGCGAAUCCCGUCCACCGAAAGCCUAAGGUUUCCGCAGUACAGUUCGUCUGCUGCGGGUCAGUCGGUCCUAAGGCGAGGCCACUUGGCGUAGUCGAUGGCUGUCAGGUUUAUAUUCCUGAACCGGGCGUAAAGGUUAAACUAGCAGGGACACUUUGGAAAAACCUCCCUAGGUUGUUGGUCUGCCGAGCGGAUUCCUUCGGGAUGAGGCGCAGGAGGGGUUUCUGGGGUCGAGAAAAGCUGACUAGGUACAAUACGUUCGACCGUACCGCAAACCGACACAGGUAGGCAGGUAGAGGAUACUAAGGUGUUCGAGAGAACUCUCGUUAAGGAACUAGGCAAUCUAACCCCGUAACUUCGGGAGAAGGGGUGCCUCUAGCAAUAGAGGUCGCAGUGAAAUGGCUCGAGCGACUGUUUACCAAAAACACAGGUCUCUGCUAAGUCGAAAGACGACGUAUAGGGGCUGACGCCUGCCCAAUGCCAGAAUGUUAACAGGAGAUGUCAGGGCCUUCGGGUUUGAAGCAUUGAAUCGAAGCACUGGUGAAUGGCGGCCGUAACAAUAACGGUCCUAAGGUAGCGAAAUUCCUUGUCGGGUAAGUUCCGACCCGCACGAAUGGCGUAACGACUUGAGCGCUGUCUCAACGAGAGACUCGGCGAAAUUGUAGCAUGCGUGAAGAUGCGCAUUACCCGCAACAGGACGGAAAGACCCCGUGGAGCUUUACUACACCCUAACGUUGCUGCCCGGCCUAGCUUGUAGAGCGUAGGUGGGAGACAGUUUACUGUCGCCAAUGGAACACCACCCUGGCUAUGUUGGGUAGCUAACCCGCGCCGUUAUCCGGCAAGGGAACCGCGUUAGGCGGGUAGUUUGACUGGGGCGGUCGCCUCCCAAAGUGUAACGGAGGCGUCCAAUGCUCACCUCAGGCUGGUUGGAAACUAGCUUUAAGAGUACAAAGGCAGAAGGUGGGUUUACUGUGAGACAAACAAGUCGAGCAGUUGCGAAAGCAGGGCUUAGUGACCCUUUGGCGGUGUAUGGGUGCGCCAAAGAUCAUCGGAUAUAAGCUACCCCGGGGAUAACAGGCUUAUCUUGCCCAAGCGCUCACAGCGACGGCAAGGUUUGGCACCUCGAUGUCGGCUCGUCGCAUCCUGGGGCUGGAUUCGGUCCCAAGGGUUAGGCUGUUCGCCUAUUAAAGCGGUACGCGAGCUGGGUUCAGAACGUCGUGAGACAGUUCGGUCCCUAUCCGUUGCGGGCGCAGGGAGUUUGAAGGGAGCUGUCCCUAGUACGAGAGGACCGGGAUGGACAGACCUCUGGUGUGCCAGUUGUGCCGCCAGGUGCAGACGCUGGGUAGCUAUGUCUGGUCGUGAUAAGCGCUGAAAGCAUCUAAGCGCGAAGUACACCUUAAGAUAAGACUUCCCAUGGAAUAAUCCAGUAAGGCCUGGGGUAGACCACCCCGUUAUGAGGCUGCGUGUGUAAUUCUGGUAACAGAUUCAGCAAAGCAGUUCUCCUCGGCCGAGGGCUUGAUUCG
rnacentral:rRNA from 1 species